GUGGUAGUCUUCUAGCCCGGUCAUGAAGCCAGGUUGCUAACCCGGUACCAGCAAUGGCUCGGCGGUUCAAAUCCGCCCUACCACGCCA
rnacentral:tRNA from 1 species